UUAGAUGCGGCAAUGUAAAUCUGAGAUGUGAGCUAGCCGAUGGCGAGUUUGAUCACGUGAUUUUCAAGCAAUCCAAGUGUCAAGAAUAUACCUAUUAAGAAUAGAUCGUUAUACAUGAAUGUAGCAGAUUCAUACGCAAGGCGUUAAAAAUCUGCAUUAUAUAUAGCUCUGCAAGCUCAGUCUUUGAAUCCAGAGUGGAUCGAGCAGCUCGAUUGGCUCUAAAAAUAUUAAUAUCAAACGCAAAUGAGAUAACAUGUAGCAGAAAGAUGCGAACUGCUGAACGAUUUUCGAGGUAAAAGAGCAAACGGACGCCUCUGAUUUGCAAUGCUGGACGCACCUUUAAAAGAAACUCCUUUUUAUUUCUUAUUCACUACUCAUCAUUGUCAUCACAAUGAAUGUUCCUAUACACAACACAAUCUUUAAAAAAACAGUUAACUUCAGUUAACAAUAUAACAUUUAUUUAGUGAGAUACAGUCUAUUAUUCUGGUAAUUAGAAACAUUGUAACCUUAAAUAAAAUGUAUCCAUGUAACAUCAUCAA